rnacentral:rRNA from 1 species
UGGGGAAUAUUGCACAAUGGGGGAAACCCUGAUGCAGCAACGCCGCGUGAGUGAUGACGGCCUUCGGGUUGUAAAGCUCUGUCUUCAGGGACGAUAAUGACGGUACCUGAGGAGGAAGCCACGGCUAACUACGUGCCAGCAGCCGCGGUAAUACGAAGGUGGCAAGCGUUGUCCGGAUUUACUGGGCGUAAAGGGAGCGUAGGCGGACUUUUAAGUGAGAUGUGAAAUACCCGGGCUCAACCUGGGUGCUGCAUUUCAAACUGGAAGUCUAGAGUGCAGGAGAGGAGAGUGGAAUUCCUAGUGUAGCGGUGAAAUGCGUAGAGAUUAGGAAGAACACCAGUGGCGAAGGCGACUCUCUGGACUGUAACUGACGCUGAGUCUCGAAAGCGUGGGGAGCAAACA